GGAAGCGUAUCGUCACCGGUGUGGCGCCUGGACUUCAAAUCCAGUGGGCGUUCGAGAGGGCGCCGGGUGGUUCGACUCCACUACGCUUCCGCCA
rnacentral:tRNA from 1 species